ACUAUGGAGAGUUUGAUCCUGGCUCAGGAUGAACGCUAGCGGCAGGCCUAAUACAUGCAAGACGAACGGUAGAUUUGGUAGCAAUACUGAAUUGAGAGUGUCGUAAGGGUGCGUAACACGUAUGCAAUCUGCCCUCAACAGGAGUAUAGCUCGGGGAAACUCGGAUUAACACUCCAUAGCAUUGCGGUGUGGCAUCACACUGCGAUUAAAACUUUGGUGGUUGAGGAUGAGCAUGCGUCUGAUUAGUUAGU
rnacentral:rRNA from 1 species